rnacentral:rRNA from 1 species
GACGAACGCUGGCGGCGUGCUUAACACAUGCAAGUCGAACGGAAAGGCCCUGCUUUUGUGGGGUGCUCGAGUGGCGAACGGGUGAGUAACACGUGAGUAACCUGCCCUUGACUUUGGGAUAACUUCAGGAAACUGGGGCUAAUACAGGAUAGGAGCUCCUGCUGCAUGGAGGGGGUUGGAAAGUUUCGGCGGUCGGGGAUGGACUCGCGGCUUAUCAGCUUGUUGGUGGGGUAGUGGCUGACCAAGGAUUUGACGGGUAGCCGGCCUGAGAGGGUGACCGGCCACAUUGGGACUGAGAUACGGCCCAGACUCCUACGGGAGGCAGCAGUGGGGAGUAUUGCACAAUGGGCGGAAGCCUGAUGCAGCAACGCCGCGUGCGGGAUGACGGCCUUCGGGUUGUAAACCGCUUUCGCCUGUGACGAAGCGUGAGUGACGGUAAUGGGUAAAGAAGCACCGGCUAACUACGUG